rnacentral:rRNA from 1 species
UUUCCAGACUCCUACGGGAGGCAGCAGUGGGGAAUAUUGCACAAUGGGGGAAACCCUGAUGCAGCGACGCCGCGUGAGUGAAGAAGUAUUUCGGUAUGUAAAGCUCUAUCAGCAGGGAAGAAAAUGACGGUACCUGACCAAGAAGCCCCGGCUAACUACGUGCCAGCAGCCGCGGUAAUACGUAGGGGGCAAGCGUUAUCCGGAUUUACUGGGUGUAAAGGGAGCGUAGACGGUUGUGCAAGUCAGAAGUGAAAGCCCGGGGCCCAACCCCGGGACUGCUCUUGGAACUGCAUGGCUGGAGUACAGGAGGGGCAGGCGGAAUUCCUAGUGUAGCGGUGAAAUGCGUAGAUAUUAGGAGGAACACCGGUGGCGAAGGCGGCCAACUGGGCUUUAACUGACGCUGAGGCUCGAAAGUGUGGGGAGCAAACAGGAUUAGAUACCCUAGUA